rnacentral:lncRNA from 1 species
UCUCCGCCGCGCCAACGCUGGCCGCCUCUCCGCCGCUGUCCGCCUCUCCGCCACGCCGGCACCAGCGCUGUGUGCUUUUGCAAGGGCGGAGCUGCGUUCUCCUCGGCACAGACCCGGAGAGCAUUGCGAGGGCGGAGCUGCGUUCUGCUCUGCACAGACCUUGGGGCACUGCCUCGCUUUGGGACAACUCGGGGCCGCAUCGACGGUGAAUAAAAUCCUUCCUGUUUGCAGCCAUGUUUGUGGUUGGUGGCAGCGAUGGACACUGCAGCCAGCCAGAGUGUAGAAAAAGGCAUCGGGUGAAAGAAGAUGGCCACGGAGACAGACAGCAGCGUGGUCAGAGUGGUAGGAGCCGGCCAUCAGCGAGAGCUGCUCCAUGCCUGGCUGCUGGGAGCUAGAGCCUGCGGCCCACUGGCUUGCCUCACUGUAGUUGGUGGUGGCGGUGACAGAGACUGCAGCAUGACCAGAGUGGCUUUUCUGGCUUUGCCCACCCAGCUGCUCCGUGCCAGGAGGAGGAGGAGACACCUAGAGCGUGCAACACCACGGCUCGCCUCGCUGCGGGUGGGUGGCAGUGACGGAGACUGCAGUGCACCAGAACGAUGAAAUGAUAAGAUGACUUGAGAUGAGAUGAAAUGAUGA